UAACCCAUCUCCAAGGCAACCCCGAGAAACACUUACUUCUGGAGAAGGAGGUGGAGAGAGGGAUUUGGGCGAGAGGGAGCGCUGCAGAAAAGAGUCAAGAGAGAGAGAGAGAGAGAGAACUUCACUUGAUGCCGCUCACAUCUGAGUCAUCUAUUACGUCUAAAAGGCUUUCUUACAGAAGAUGAAGCAAGCUUGUUUUCUGCCUCUCCGGACAGGAGGACCUGAACCGAUAGAUUCAGAUUCCAGGAAAGGAGAUUCUGGCUAAACCAUCAGAAGAACUUUCUGACGCAGCAGCUGCAGGAAAGAAAGUCAAUGCCACUCAAUGAGGCCAAACGGAAAUUUGCAUUGGCCAUGCAGGCAGCGUAUUGAAGAGUCGUUUCCAGGAAGGAUUUCCUUCCAGCAGGCACAGUAAACUCUGGCUUUGUCACAAAUAUACAUUUGUAUUCCCUCCUGCCAAUCAGAGGGGUUGCUGUGUGUCCUCAAAGCGCUGUGUUCUAGGAAGAGCUGCUGACUGUUCCAGCCCCCUUGCAAAUGUGCCACCAAAGGGGACUGGAGACUGACUGAUAAGAUUCUUGGCUAUCCAGUCGGGGACAGAAACAGAAAACCUUUCUUAGAACCGGCUACACAUCACAAAGCCGCGAGCGAGCCGGCUGCCAAGUUUCACUGCCUGGAUGUUAAAAAGCAGGGUGGGGAGGGGCACACUGGAAAGCCAGUCUGCGAGAUGGGGCAGUCUUUUUAAAAUGUUUCAAGUGAAUACCUCGUCUGGCCUACCUAUAUUACAAUAUAAUCCUACAAAAAGAA